UAAAUACUCGCAUUUAGUUUUUAAAAGUGUAAAACAAUACAGAGAAGAUUAGCAUGGCCCCUGCGCAAGGAUGACACACACAAAAUAGCAUUCUUAGACUUGUAU